rnacentral:rRNA from 1 species
AGCUGGUUCUCCCCGAAAUAGCUUUAGGGCUAGCCUCAGGGUAAAGAUUGCAGGCGGUAGAGCACUGAUCAGGAGAGGGACCUACCCGGUUACCAAACCCAGUCAAACUACGAAUGGCUGCAAUUAUACCUGGGAGUCAGACUACGACUUAUAAGGGCCGUGGUCAAAAGGGAAACAGCCCAGAUCAUCAGCUAAGGUCCCAAAUGCCGUGCUAAGUGGCGAAGGAUGUGGCGUUUCAUAAACAACCAGGAUGUUGGCUCAGAAGCAGCCACCAUUUAAAGAGUGCGUAAUAGCUCACUGGUCGAGAGACGCUGCGCCGAAAAUGUCCGGGGCUCAAGCACGGAACCGAAGCUAUGGCAUUGCGUAAGCAAUGGGUAGGGGAGCGUUCUUAUGGGGAAGAAGCAUUACCGUAAGGAGAUGUGGACACAUAAGAAGUGAGAAUGCCGGUAUGAGUAUCGAAAAGAAAGGUGAGAAUCCUUUCCACCGAAAGCCCGAGGGUUCCUGAGCAACGAUCGUCGUCUCAGGGUAAGUCGGGACCUAAGCCGAGGCACAGACGCAUAGGCGAUGGACAACAGGUUGAAAUUCCUGUACCGGAUGGAGUCAUUUGAGCAAUGGAGUGACGCAGGAGGGCACAUGAUCGCGCGACUGGAAGAGCGCGUCCAAGUGCGUAUGUUGAAUCGGAGGCAAAUCCCCGAUUCUGAAAGCAGAGACAUGAUGGGGAGUUAUAAGCGAUUAUGACGAACUCAUGGAUCCCACACUGCCAAGAAAAACUUCUAGCGAGACGAAAUCCGCCCGUACCGUAAACCGACACAGGUAGGCGGGGAGAGAAUCCUAAGGUGCGCGGGAAAACCCUCGUUAAGGAACUCGGCAAAUUGCAUCCGUAACUUCGGGAGAAGGAUGGCCCUGAGUAGGCGAAGUGCAGAAACGCACGGAACAGAAAAGGGUGGCAGAAAAGAGGCCCAAGCAACUGUUUACCAAAAACACAGGUGCCUGCGAAAGCGAAAGCUGAAGUAUAGGUGCUGACGCCUGCCCGGUGCUGGAAGGUUAAGGAGAGAGGUUAGCGCAAGCGAAGCUUUGAACUGAAGCCCCAGUGAACGGCGGCCGUAACUAUAACGGUCCUAAGGUAGCGAAAUUCCUUGUCGGGUAAGUUCCGACCCGCAUGAAAGGCGUAAUGAUUUGGGCGCUGUCUCAACGAGGGGCCCGGUGAAAUUGAAAUACCUGUGAAGAUGCAGGUUACCCGCGACUGGACAGAAAGACCCCAUGGAGCUUUACUGCAGCUUGAGAUUGAAUCCCGGUGGCAGACGCACAGGAUAGGUGGGAGGCUUUGAGAUAGUGACUUUGGUUGCUAUGGAGCCGACGUUGGGAUACCACCCUUCUGUUGCUGGGAUUCUAACGCGAAGAUUAACAACCUUGCGGACCAUCUCAGGUAGGCGGUUUGACUGGGGCGGUCGCCUCCGAAAGAGUAACGGAGGCG